rnacentral:rRNA from 1 species
UAGAACAGCACGUGGGGUUUGGCGCUGAAGGGAUCGCGAAGCACGCGCAGAUCCGGGCGUUCAGCCACGGUGUAACCGGCAGCAAAGUCCCCAAAGGCAAUGGCGUCCGAACCGGAAGAGAUAUCCGGCAUGUCCUCGGCGAUAAGGACCGGAUACCCCAAGAGACGCGCAGGUUCGCCCGCCGCCAGACCAUCCGACCAAAGGAAGCGACCGUCGCCAUCCUUGAGUUUGCGCACCGCGCCGGCGGUCUUGGAAUUCAUCACGAAUGUGCCAUUUGCCCGGUACUGGGCACCGACGGCGUAAACCAGAUCAAUCAGCGCCUCGCCGCCAUUGAACCCGCCAUCAAUUCCGGUCGACACAUAGCCGAGGUUGCCCCAGCUCCAGCUGUCAUUGUCGACAACCGUGUGGGUGAGGAAGCCGGUCGGCUUAUCGAUACCGUCGCCAUUGACGAAGGCCGCGGCCUCGGCGCGUGCAAACUUGUCGGCAAUCCGACCCGCCAGCCAGGUUUCGAUGUCAAAGGCGCUGUCAUCCAGCAGACGCUGCGACGCCUUGGGCAGCGCUGACAAUUCGUGCAGCGGAAUGGUGAUGCGCUCGAUCGAGGGCGUGCCGGUUUCGGCGGUUGCGGUGGUUUCAUCGGCCCAGCCUGCCCCGGCUUCGGUCGAGUCGAUCAGCACGUCAUAAGACGUUGCUUCGACAUUGACGACAUUGGCAACGGCGCGGAUCGAGGCGGUUGAUUUCAGCACCGACUGGAUGGUUUCUGCCGUUUGGGGAUCGACCAGAUAGCCA